AAUCCAUGCAUCAAGCAUUUGUGAAACAAGUCUUUGAAACUCUCCCAAGCUUCAUAUUGGUUCUCGUCCUCAAAUUGCUUGAAUGAUGUGAGAUUAUUCCUCAUCUU